rnacentral:tRNA from 1 species
GGAGCCGACUAGGACGUCGGCUUUGGUAGAGUAACCCCUUCGUAAGGGGUAAGUCGCGAGUUCGACUCUCGCCUCCGGCUCCA